CUCACAAAUCAAGAGCCGACCCCGCUCACUCUCUCUCUAUCUCUCUCGAUCUCGAGCCCUCCCUUGAUCCGCUGGCCAUGACAACGCCGCCGUCAGACCCCCCUCCCAGGACCAGAUCGAGGUCCCUCUGCCCCCAGCGACGCCGCGAUCUCUCAGAUACUGACCUUCACUGGUGCAAUGAGAGCGCAAUACUACUUAAUCAUGCUGCUAUUCUUUCUUCCCAAUGGGAGUAGGGCAAGAAAAGCAAAACAAAAGAGGGAAAAGGAGCAAUUUGUUUGUCAAUAUUUUGUAACUCAUGUUGUCUGUCGUAGGCAAGAUCAGUAAAACUUUAAUUGCAAAUCGUGUUGUUUGUCAAUGUUUUGGUUAAAAAAUUUCUUACGUUUGUUGAGUAAUUAUUGACAUGAAUGAACAGAAGUGUAUUUUCUUUCUUCA